CCCGCUGAACUUAAGCAUAUCAAUAAGCGGAGGAAAAGAAACUAACAAGGAUUCCCCUAGUAACUGCGAGUGAAGCGGGAAAAGCUCAAAUUUAAAAUCUGGUGGUCUUUGGCUAUCCGAGUUGUAAUCUAGAGAAGUGUUAUCCGCGCUGGACCGUGUACAAGUCUCCUGGAAUGGAGCGUCAUAGAGGGUGAGAAUCCCGUCUUUGACACGGACUGCCAGUGCUUUGUGAUGCGCUCUCAAAGAGUCGAGUUGUUUGGGAAUGCAGCUCAAAAUGGGUGGUAAAUUCCAUCUAAAGCUAAAUAUUGGCGAGAGACCGAUAGCGAACAAGUACCGUGAGGGAAAGAUGAAAAGAACUUUGGAAAGAGAGUUAAACAGUACGUGAAAUUGUUGAAAGGGAAACGCUUGAAGUCAGUCGCGUCGACCGAGACUCAGCCUCGCCUCGGCUUGGUGUACUUCUCGGCUCGACGGGUCAGCAUCGAUUUCGAUCCUCGGAUAAUGGCAAGGGAAAGGUAGCACCUUUUUAGGUGUGUUAUAGUCCUCUGUCGCAUGCGAGGGUCGGGAUCGAGGAACUCAGCACGCACCUCAGGGUGUCGGGGCCUUGGCCCACGUUUACGUGCUUAGGAUGCUGGCGUAAUGGCUUUAAACGACCCGUCUUGAAACACGG
rnacentral:rRNA from 1 species